rnacentral:rRNA from 1 species
GUGGGGAAUUUUGGACAAUGGGCGCAAGCCUGAUCCAGCAAUGCCGCGUGCAGGAAGAAGGCCUUCGGGUUGUAAACUGCUUUUGUACGGAACGAAACGGUCCUGGUUAAUACCUGGGGCUAAUGACGGUACCGUAAGAAUAAGCACCGGCUAACUACGUGCCAGCAGCCGCGGUAAUACGUAGGGUGCGAGCGUUAAUCGGAAUUACUGGGCGUAAAGCGUGCGCAGGCGGUGCUGUAAGACAGGCGUGAAAGCCCCGGGCUCAACCUGGGAAUUGCGCUUGUGACUGCAGUGCUGGAGUACGGCAGAGGGGGAUGGAAUUCCGCGUGUAGCAGUGAAAUGCGUAGAUAUGCGGAGGAACACCGAUGGCGAAGGCAGUCCCCUGGGCCUGUACUGACGCUCAUGCACGAAAGCGUGGGGAGCAAACAGGAUUAGAAACCCCAGUAGUCC